CGUAGUUACAACGUAACUCGCUGAAAUACCUCGACAUCAUUGACAUCGACAUCCUAGCUAGAUGCGCGAUCCAUAAAAAAUGCAUUCCCAGUAGUGCAAUUUCUUAUAAGUCCUAAGGAACAAAAACCUUAUGACUAUACGAAAGUAAGCCGGGCCCAGUCCCGCAUAAUCUCUUAGAUCGCACGAGUAAAAAUGCCGAACACAUCUUCGCUACUCGGAUGCGAUCUAAGAAGCUAACAGGUGGGCCGAUCUAAUAUUCUCACCUACAGCAUACUAAACCGAGUCCUUACUCGUAAACAAAACAGGAUAAGCCGAGGUCUUACCUCACACCUACAGAUCUAAUAAGCCGAGUUCCCACUUCGCAUUUAUUUCAGUCUAUAUAUAUAUGUUCGAUUAACCAAGUUCAAACUCGCAUUAUAUUACUCGUCAAUCUUGUAGCUAGAUAGCUCGUCAACCUCGCAGCUCGUCAUCCUCGCAGCUUGUCGACCUCACAGCUCGUCGACCUCGCAGCUUGUUGACCUCGCAGCUUUGCGGAUCCUCGUCUAUACGACUUUGAGCUCGUCAAUCUCGCAGCUUGUCGACCUCGCAGCUCGUCAACCUC
rnacentral:lncRNA from 1 species